rnacentral:rRNA from 1 species
GUCUACAGCCAUGCUACCCUGAACAAGCCCGAUCCUGUCUGAUCGUGGAAGCUAACAGGGUCGGGCCUGGUUAGUACUUGGAUGGGAGACCACCUAGGAAGACCAGGGGCUGUAGGUG